CCUACGGGCGGCAGCAGUAGGGAAUAUUGCUCAAUGGGGGAAACCCUGAAGCAGCAACGCCGCGUGGAGGAUGAAGGUUUUCGGAUUGUAAACUCCUUUUGUUAGAGAAGAUAAUGACGGUAUCUAACGAAUAAGCACCGGCUAACCCCGCGCCAGCAGCCGCGGUAAUACGGAGGGUGCAAGCGUUACUCGGAAUCACGGGGCGUAAAGAGCGCGUAGGCGGGAUAGCAAGUCAGAUGUGAAAUGCUAUGGCUUAACCAUAGAACUGCAUUUGAAAUUGUUAUUCUAGAGUAUGGGAGAGGUAGGUGGAAUUCUUGGUGUAGGAGUAAAAUGCGUAGAGAUCAAGAGGAAUACUCGUUGCGAAGGCGACCUGCUAGAACAUAACUGACGCUGAUGCGCGAAGGCGUGGGGAGCAAACAGGAUUAGAUACCCGGGUAGUC
rnacentral:rRNA from 1 species